rfam:Ictidomys tridecemlineatus contig060047, whole genome shotgun sequence.
GGGGCUAUAGCUCAGUGGCAGAGCGCUUGCCUAGCAUGUAUGAGGCACUGAGUUUGAUCCUCAGUAUCACAU